rnacentral:rRNA from 1 species
UACGGGGGGGGCAAGCGUUAUCCGGAUUUAUUGGGUUUAAAGGGUGCGUAGGCGGGUUAUUAAGUCAGUGGUGAAAGCCUACAGCUUAACUGUAGAACUGCCAUUGAUACUGAUGAUCUUGAGUACGAUUGAGGUAGGCGGAAUGUGUCAUGUAGCGGUGAAAUGCUUAGAUAUGACACAGAACACCGAUUGCGAAGGCAGCUUACUAAGUCGUAACUGACGCUGAUGCAUGAAAGCGUGGGGAGCAAACAGG